UUUAUUUAAGGGUCCCAUUCAUGUUUUAGGCCUGCAGAAUCUUACCAACUUAGAGAUAUGGUGGUGCAAUAGUUUGAAACAUAUCUUCUCACUCACCCUUGCUCAAAAUCUGGUGCAAUUGAAACAUCUGGAGAUUGGGAAUUGUGAAGAAUUGGAGCAAAUCUUGGUUGUUGAUGAUGAAACCUUAUUGAAUAAUAAGGAUCAUCUAUUCUUUCCAAAUCUCUUUCAAAUAAGGGUGAUUGAAUGCCACAAAUUGAAAUGUGUCUUUCCUAUCAAUAUAGGCCGACAUCUUCAACAACUGCAAAAGAUAAAUGUUAUAGGAGUGAAUCAACUAGAAGAAGUAUUUGGACAUACAGAUAGAACUGACCUCAUAAAUAACAAAGAAAUCAUGUUACCUCAACUUCAAGAAUUGUCACUCUUUUCUUUACCAAACCUCACCAACUUCUGCUCCGUGAGUUACCACUUCAUAUUUCCAUCUCUUGAAAGUUUGUUAGUUCGGAGUUGUCCCAAGAUCACUACAAGAUUUUCCUACGCACAAAAUAAUCAAUCCGUGCAUGCCGAAGCAAAGGCAUCCCAAACAGGCAAAGAAGAUGGAAGUGCAGAAUACCCUAUAGAGCUCAACGUGUCUCCACAGACCAAUUCUAAAUUGAGUGAUGUAUUACCGCCAUACAUAGAACAAUGAUAAGAGAAGUGUCAAAUAGCAGAAAGAAGAAAAAACAAGGGCUUCAAGUGGUUCAUAUUACACUAGACCGCUCAGUCUUAGCUGUACAAGAUACCAUCAAUCAUAACAUGGACCAUAUCUUCAAGUUCAAAUCUUUCUGAAACUAAUUUGAUAAAUCAGCAAGUUUUUCUAUUGACCGAAUUUCUCAUCAAUUUCUAGUUCCUAAACCCACUGAAUCCAAAGAAGAAAGGGGCUUGUUUCUAUGGUUGUGAUAUCUCUUCAUGAUUUCAUGUGUCUUUAUAGACUGAAGUGUUGUCCUUCAUUUCACUUGAUUAUGUUCUGAUACUCAUUAAUUGUUUUUAUCAAGGCCACAUUAAA